rnacentral:rRNA from 1 species
GGUGAAUAAUUAAACGGCCGCGGUACCCUAACCGUGCAAAGGUAGCGUAAUCACUUGUCUAUUAAUUGUAGACCCGCAUGAAUGGCAAAAUGAGGGCCUGACUGUCUCUUAUAGUAAAUCAAUUAAACUGAUCUCCUAGUAAAAAAGCUAGAAUAUCCACAUAAGACCAGAAGACCCUGUGAAGCUUAAACUAAACUAUUAAACCCUAUAAUAGCUACUUUCGGUUGGGGCGACCUUGGAAAAAAAAGAAACUUCCAAACACAGUGAUAUAAGCCACACCAUUAGGCCUACAAGCCCAUAAUUGAUCCAGUACAACUGACAAUUGAACCAAGUUACUCCAGGGAUAACAGCGCCAUCUUCUUCAAGAGCCCAUAUCAAAAAGAAGGUUUACGACCUCGAUGUUGGAUCAGGACAUCCUAA